UGCUCAGCUAUAUUCACAUCUGGAUAAAGACACCCUCUUUUAUCUGCAAUAUUUGUAAUCUGUAUAACAGCAGUUUAUAUGAGAUGACUAGGCCAUCUGUACAUUCAUUGAAAUGUGAUUUGAGUGCCUAUAAUGUAAUAUGAGUCACAGACAAUUGUCUUAUAUCUUAUUUGACUUCCUAGUAAAUGCAACGCAAAAACCAGCUAGAGGAUAAUAUGGUGCCUAUCAUGUCAGGACAAAUAUGUUAGAGAUUCAAAUGACAGGUGUCUGAAAAACCUAGAUUCUCUCAGCAAAUAAUACACCCUAAAUAAUCAAGUGACCACAUCUGUUUUGAUUACUGGUUGCCUGGUUACCUGCAUUGUAGCUUGGAUGUGAGGACAUACAAUCACAGAAAUAGUUUAGGUGUAGUUCUGCUUCUGUGUUAAAGCAAACGUCUCUAUAUUAACAUUGAAAGGGAAUCAUUAACAUGCUGUGCAACCCAAUCUGAAAUAUCACUUACCCAAUGAAUUUUGAAACCGCUUCUACUAUCAAUGGCCAUUUCUGAGACAAAGGCUUUGAUGCUGCUAUUCAAAUGCAAGCAGAAAAUGCUGUAAAUCUUAAAUUUCCCCAAUAAUGUAAUCCCAGAUUUGCAUAUGGAACCACAGAUCAGCAGUUCUCCCUGAGUGUAAGGGUGUGAUUUUGUGCAUCUGAUGUGAAGAGAAACAGAAAUAUGGCACAAUAACUUUGUGCUGAUUCAUACUGGAAAUAACAGCUCUAACAACAGCAACGAAAGCCAAACAUUAUGGCUGCUGAGACACUGAGAAAGAGAGCUAAUACCAGAUUUGCCUUUCUCCCUGUUUAAAAAGCCAGCAUUAGUCUAGGAGAUUUUCUUGGAAUGAUUGAAAUACUAAUGCAGUCCAGAAACAGGAUAAGUCUGAGUCCCUAAAUUUAAGCUGGUUAAGUACUCAUGAACUCUGCUCCAUUUCACCUAUUUAGUUGGUUUGUGAACUUCUGUGCCUAGCCCAGGCAACAGCUAUAGAGCUUUUGUUUGCGCAAAACAAAAGGGCAACAGUAGAAAAAAGAGAAGAGAUUAAACUAGGAUUUGUCGUCGUCGUCUUCUUCUUUGGCGAUCGCUUGUAGCCGAGUAAGAUUGUCUCCCAUAAACACGGUUUUAACAAUGAGUCCGUAGUGGGAAGUUUUCCACUGGAGAUCUGUAAUUAUAUUUGAGUAGAAAACUUACUUCUGUUAUUUUUGAGAAAUUCUAAAGCAAAUGCUAACCUAUGUUGGGGAUGGAGAACCUGUCCAGGCCUUUUUGCAGUUUUUAUUUCUUCCUACAUAUUUGCAGUUGCUUCAGCAAACAAAUGCACACUUGUAAAUUGACUUCACAAUAUGUACUUUCCAAUAAACAAGUGGUGAAGUUAGGGCAGCAUUUGGGGGCAGCAUACCAUCCAAGUGUCCCAAUUUUGUUGGGACGACUCCAAAAUUCCUAAAGCCGUCAUGGCUUCUGACUUGACCUCUGGGCGCCCCGAUUUCUCCUGGGCAGCGGAUGGGGGCCGCAGAAGCAGCUCCUGGGGCGGCAAUGGCAUUGGGAGGAGGCCUGUGGGCUCCUUCCCAAAGCAUAGCUAGUGCUUACUAGGCUUUGGGAAGAAGGCGGGUGGACUCUAAGGCCCCUUCAGAGCCCUCACGCCUCCUGUUUGAAGCCGUACAAACCCUUCCUCUUGCUGCUUUCUUCAGGUGAGGGAGAAUGGGCUUGCCUCCACUCCUAUGCCUGCAAUUCCAGUCUGUCUAACUACCGUGGUACCUCGGGUUACAUACGCUUCAGGUUACAAACUCCGCUAAUCCAGAAAUAGUACCUCGGGUUAAGAACUUUGCUUCAGGAUGAGAACAGAAAUCAUGUGGCGCGGCAGCGGCGGGAGGCCCCAUUAGCUAAAGUGGUACCUCAGGUUAAGAACAGUUUCAGGUUAACGGACCUCCAGAACGAAUUAAGUACUUAACCCGAGGUAUCACUGUAUUGUAAAGGUUUCUCUGGCCGGUUCAGUGUCUUGCGGUCUCGUUUCUAGUUUCUCCCAGCUUUGUUGUUAGCUGAUAACCAAUUUGUAACCUGCAAAAUGUAAGCCGGCUAACGACACCAAGAAGAAGAAAACCUACGUUUCCUCCUUCUUGUGUUCAGCUGCUGAGUGCAGUCUGUCGGUUUCCUGGCUGCGUUUGCGGCAUUGCAGUGAAGCUGCACAUUAUCCUCGAUCCCUAACUGAUAGGAACGGGCUGAGAGGGGAAAGCAACGGAGGGACUAGCUUGCGCAUGUGCGGUGCAUGAGGUCCAGUGCUGCGGCAGUUCGGUUGUGUGAUUUCGGGGGGAGCUGCAUGUGUGGAAAGGAGAGUGGGAUGGAGGCUGGGAAGCAGCAAACUGCCCUCUUGCGCCCCCUGGCACUGGUGGCGGGUUGGUGAGGGGAUGAGAGCAAUGAAACGGGCACCUUCAAAGUGUGGAGCUGGUGCGGCUGAGGCUGAAAAGUCGUGGCGAACACCCAACUCCGACACACUUCUGAGGUGGGGGAAGGAGGAAGAGAGCAUGUUGUAGUUCUGUCACAAACCCCUAAAAAAUGACUCUGUGUGUUUAUACCUGCCAACAUUCCUCAGAUGAAAAUGUCUCUGUUUUUAUCUGAGGGAUGUUGGAGGGUAUGGGGAAGAGGUCCAGGGCCUCACUCUGCAGAAUGAGCAAGUGGGGUCCCCCCCCAAAGCAACAGGGCUGGCUCACCCCAUUUCGAAGUAAGUGAAAUAAUAACACGUAAUCAUCUAAAGAGUGGGCCCCAUUAAGUCCAGAGUCAAAAAUUAUCGAACUAUACCAUGGUGAGAAACAUUAAAAGGGACCGGCGUAACACAGGCAAACGGUCAUAUAGGUUUGAGGGUGUUUUGUAUCUUACAUCUCUGCGUAAUUUUCUGCAAACCUGGAAAGAAUAUGAAUGUAUGACGGCCAGAAGAAAACACAACUGUGAAGGCAUGUGUUUUUCGCCUCGGCACCAAUUAAUUUUAAUGAAGUUUGCCUUGGAAAACGUUUAUGUAUGCAGCAUCUCAUUCUGUGUCCAGUGAUAAGCGCUGUUAUGCCUGGGUUUCUUAGCAUGAAAGUGUUUUGUGCCUCAGAAAAUAGACACUAUAGCUUUAUACGUAAGUAGCAAGCUGCCAAGGAGAAGAAGAAAACAAUCUGUUAAAAAUUCUCUACUGAGUCAGAAAAUCUCUAAAACUGGUAGCUGUAGAGAAUUCCCUAUUUAUAGAGAAUGUGUACAGGCAUGUCUCUUAGUCAGUAAAUCAGGGCCAUGAACUUGGGUAAAAGCCUUGGCUGCUAAAUGCAACGUUUUUCUUGCAAAUGCAUUUAGGGGUAGCAGGUUUUGUGUGAUUUGCGUCCAAUGUUUUCCCAACAGGCGUAGGAGGAGAAUGUUCAUUUUUGAGGAAUGCAUUUGUUCCUUACAUUUCCCAGAGUUCUGGUCACAGCUAGAUUUCUUGAAGGGGCUGCAAUGCCACUGGAGUUUUAGGGGAAAGCAAGGGCUUGGACUCCAAAUGGCCUGCUAGCAUGAAGAGCAGGCACCAGUGCUAUUUUUCUAGAAAAAGAGGUGCCGGAACUCACCAUGAAUGCCUCACUUGUUCUCUUAUAAUGGCAAUGGUGUCCACCUGAGAGGUGCCAGAACUGGGUUCUGGCAAGUUCCGGCUGAAAAAAAAGCCCUAUCAGACCCUGAAUCUUUCGAAGUGGCCCAAGUCUUUUUGGAUAGAUAAUGAAUUUGAGAGAAACUGAAUUAGGGGGACAAUCUGGGUUACUGAGUAGGCUAGUAAUUUGUGGAAUAGAUUAAUUUAAGAUGAUUCAAUUUAGAUACAAGUCCGAAGGUUAUGAAUGGCAGUAAUUGAAUUGAUUUGGAACAGGAUUUGUGGAGCAAUUAAUUGAGGGGGAGGGAAGAAUUGAUGAGGAACAGAUUUAGGGUAGUCUGGGGUGGGAUGCAGAUUAAUUGAACAGAUUACAUGGGGUAAUGGGUGGCUUGCCUUCUGUAACACUUGUAUUAUUAAUUUGCAUCUUGCAUAGAAACUUGGCAUAUGCAAAUAUGUUUACGUAUGGCCCAUGUCCCAAAUCUUUAAAGUGUCUAGCAGUGCUUAUUGCCAGAGACACCAUCCUAGGCACAAACAUUUCUCACCUGAUUUGGCAGAGUGAAUGGUUCCUCUGAGGUGGUUAGAUUUUGCCUAAGGGGUUAAGUAUCGGACAAUAACUACAUACAGUACAACAAUUGUGCUUUCAUAUUAAUGGUUCUGCUUACUGUUUUGUUGAAACUACUGAUGCAAUUAUUCCCCAUUCUAUUUCCUCCUCUCUGGUUUUGUGGCCUUUUGUAUUUCUUUGCAGAGGUAACUCUGAGGAAGGGUCAUAGCUCCAUGGUAGACCACAUGACUUGCAGAUAAAAGACCCUAGGUUGAACCCCCGCCCUCCAAUCUUCACGUAGAGCUGAAAACCCUGGCUGAAACCCUGGAGACCUGCUCCAAUCAGGAUGGACAAGACGGGGCUGUGUUUAUUUAUUUUAAAUAUUUUCUAAAUUUCUUAGUAUUU